CCAUCAUGGCAGAAAGCUAACUCUGCUACUACUGGUGUUGCUGUUGAUGUGGUGUAGGUGUCCCAGAGCUUCCUUAUGGGGAGCCAGUUAGCCCUUUUUCCUCUCUUGUUUCAGAGACUUGAGCAUCUAUGUUCUAGCUGUAUGAGUAGGGAUGUUGCCCACUGGCUUAGGGACUAACGUAAGGGAAGACUUGGGGUUUCCAGUUGUCACGGGGAGUGGUGCGGCCUUAGGUAGCCUGUUCUGGCAGGACCGUGUAGGUAUCUCAAGAACAUUUCCAUGUCUGACCGUAGCGACCCAGAGACGGGCUCCGGAAUCCACUUCGUCUGCUUCACCGGAAACCACGAGGACUGUGAUGGCUUCGAAUAACCUUCUUCAUGUUACUUCCACUUCCCAAAUACCUGCAUCUGCAAAAAUGUCAGAGACAGAGACUGGUAAAUUAUGUUUGUUUUAUUUCCAAUCCUUGAUCUUUCUUGAUAUUGAAAUAGUACUAUUCUGAUGUUUAUUUCUCCUAGCUUUUUAAUAUUGCAUGCAGUGGUGUUUUAUUUGUUCAUUAAUGCUUCAUGUUACAUUUAAUACUUGCCAGUAUCCAGCAGAUCUGGCUUCAAGUUAAGUGAUUUAUGCCUACAUCACUAUGUUCAAGUAAGUAAAGUAUGCUCUAGCCUUUUCAGGAUAAUAACUGAGGGGUUGGAGAGGAGGGUGGGACAGAAUUUAGCAGGUGAGACACAAAUGUCCAGCUUGAUGAAUUUCAGGUUUUCAAGAUGAUGAUUAUCCUUUGGGAGGAAGUGUUUUGUCUUUAGCUAGUAGGCAUUUCUUAAAGAGAUCUUGUAGCUGAAUGUUUGUUUCCUAUUACAAUUUUUUAAACUAGUCUCUGGAAAAGGUAAUAUUCCAAAGACUGCUGUAGUACAGAUUUUUGGCAUUAAAGAUAUUUUUAUGGUUGUUUUUUCUAACCAUUAAUUUUUUCUCCGUCUUUAUAGAAAAUGUAUUUUUUUUAGGCAGAAUAUGUGCAUUUAUAUUUGAGCGUGGGAUUUUACCCAGAAUCUGGUCAUAAAAAAGGUAGAGAGCUUUCUCACAGCUAUUCUCAGCUGUGUUUCAGUUCGUGCUAGGACAAUUUAAACAAGGGGUGUUUUGUUGCAUUGUUAUAUCAACCAUUCUCUUUUGGGGGACCAACUUUAAAAUAUCUCAGUUCUGCAAUAUAGUGUGCUCAGAAAACAAAGCAAGCAUAUGCAAAACUGGCUUCUGAAUGAAAAAUUAGUUGGAGCUAUUGUGGCUUACAAAGGACUCUCUGUAUUUCCUUUUCUCUUGUGUUUCUCAUUACCAUACCAUACGAGUCUCUAUCUUGGGUUUAUUUAUGUGCUUUCCAUUCAGCUGCAAUUAAAAUUGAAUUGUAUAUAUCUUUGUUUAUGAUUUCCCAAGAAACUAAGUCAUCAGCAACAGUUAUGGGUAGCAAUCACAUUCAUUUGAUCUGUUUGGAGUCGUAUUUUUGUUGUUGUUGGAUU
rnacentral:lncRNA from 1 species